rnacentral:rRNA from 1 species
CGGUUUGGUGACUGAGUGGCGGACGGGUGAGUAACGCGUGGGGAACCUGCCCCAUACCGGGGGAUAACAGCCGGAAACGGCUGCUAAUACCGCAUAAGCGCACAGUACCGCAUGGUACGGUGUGAAAAACUCCGGUGGUAUGGGAUGGACCCGCGUCUGAUUAGCCAGUUGGCGGGGUAACGGCCCACCAAAGCGACGAUCAGUAGCCGGCCUGAGAGGGCGACCGGCCACAUUGGGACUGAGACACGGCCCAGACUCCCACGGGAGGCAGCAGUGGGGAAUAUUGCACAAUGGGGGAAACCCUGAUGCAGCGACGCCGCGUGAAGGAAGAAGUAUCUCGGUAUGUAAACUUCUAUCAGCAGGGAAGAUAAUGACGGUACCUGACUAAGAAGCCCCGGCUAACUACGUGCCAGCAGCCGCGGUAAUACGUAGGGGGCAAGCGUUAUCCGGAUUUACUGGGUGUAAAGGGAGCGUAGACGGCGCAGCAAGUCUGAUGUGAAAGGCAGGGGCUUAACCCCUGGACUGCAUUGGAAACUGCUGUGCUUGAGUGCCGGAGGGGUAAGCGGAAUUCCUAGUGUAGCGGUGAAAUGCGUAGAUAUUAGGAGGAACACCAGUGGCGAAGGCGGCU